GUUCCUGUAAUCCUUGUUACAAUGGAGGUGUGUGUGUCAACAAUGAGAUGAGUUACCAUUGUAUAUGUCCACCGGGGUUCUUUGGAAUACACUGUGAUCAAAUAAUUAAAAAUUUAACCACAGCCCAGUCAAAUGCCCGUGCAGCUGCUCAAGAGACGAGCCGUAUCACCACUUUGGUCCCUUCUGUUACAGCAACUGGCGUGGUACUGGUAUGCGUGGUUUGCAUUACCGCUGCAUUGUGGAAUCGCUAUCUGAAGAAAAGAAAAACUAACCCUGACCCAAAUGACAACCCCAU